ACCGUACAAAGGUAGCAUAAUCAUUAGUUUCUUAAUUAGAAGCUUGUAUGAAUGGUUGGACGAGGGAGUUACUGUCUCACUCUAAUUUGUGUUAGAAUUUUAUCUUUAAGUUAAAAAGCUUAGAUAAUUCUGAAAGACGAGAAGACCCUAUAGAGUUUUAUUUAUUGGCUGUUCUUUGGUUUUUAGUAGUUUUUACUUAGGAAUAUUCAGUGAAUUUGGCUGGGGUGGCGGAAAAAUUAAGUUAACUUUUUUAAGUAUUAAACAUUUUUAAAUGGGUACUUGAUCCAGCAUGGCUGAUUAUAAGAUUAAAUUACCUUAGGGAUAACAGCGUAAUUUUCCUUGAGAGCUCUAAUCGAAAGGGAAGUUU
rnacentral:rRNA from 1 species